GUGCUGGCUUUGAUGCCACAUGUACUAAAAUUGGAGCAAUACGGAGAAGAUUAUUGUGGUCCCAGUGCAAGGAUGACAUCCAAAUUUGUGAAGUGUUUCAUAAUUUU
ensembl:snRNA U6 U6 spliceosomal RNA